rnacentral:lncRNA from 1 species
GUGGUAUUCUAAUAUCAGAAAAGGGGAGCACAACAAGACCUCCUUCCCACAAAAGAAGAAGCUAUUUGGAAGAAAAUCCAUCACCAAAUGGACAUAUGCCAGCACCACUGAAGGAAAAAUCUCCCAUGAAAUUCACACGGCAGGGCAGAGGCUCUGAGGAACCAAUUAGUUCUUCCAGAAUGAUCCACACUCGCACAGGCCUAGGCCUCACCAGACAGGGAGAGCUCCUACUGAGCUGAACCUACUUGGAGGACCUUGGCUAAGACAUGUCUCUGAUGUCAUCAUGUAGUAGUUCAGGGUGCACCCACAGGGGGUUGGCAGAGGACAGAGUGACUCUGAAGCGGCAAACAGUAACCUCUGCCAUGCCAUAGUAAACCUCUGCCAUGAUCACAGGUGGAAUUAUCUUAAUGCAUGACCUAUGUCAAAAUGUAAUUGUGUGUGAACUUAACACUUAGGUUUUUAUACACCAUGAAG